rnacentral:rRNA from 2 species
UGGCUCAGGACGAACGCUGGCGGCGUGCCUAAUACAUGCAAGUCGAACGCGUCUCCGUUAAUGAUUUUAGGUGCUUGCACUUGAAAGAUUUAACAUUGAGACGAGUGGCGAACUGGUGAGUAACACGUGGGUAACCUGCCCUUGAAGUAGGGGAUAACACUUGGAAACAGGUGCUAAUACCGUAUAACAACCAAAACCACCUGGUUUUGGUUUAAAAGACGGCUUCGGCUGUCACUUUAGGAUGGACCCGCGGCGUAUUAGCUUGUUGGUAAGGUAACGGCCUACCAAGGCGAUGAUACGUAGCCGACCUGAGAGGGUAAUCGGCCACAUUGGGACUGAGACACGGCCCAAACUCCUACGGGAGGCAGCAGUAGGGAAUCUUCCACAAUGGACGAAAGUCUGAUGGAGCAACGCCGCGUGAGUGAUGAAGGGUUUCGGCUCGUAAAACUCUGUUGUUGGAGAAGAACAGGUGUCAGAGUAACUGUUGACAUCUUGACGGUAUCCAACCAGAAAGCCACGGCUAACUACGUGCCAGCAGCCGCGGUAAUACGUAGGUGGCAAGCGUUGUCCGGAUUUAUUGGGCGUAAAGCGAGCGCAGGCGGUUUUUUAGGUCUGAUGUGAAAGCCUUCGGCUUAACCGGAGAAGUGCAUCGGAAACCGGGAGACUUGAGUGCAGAAGAGGACAGUGGAACUCCAUGUGUAGCGGUGAAAUGCGUAGAUAUAUGGAAGAACACCAGUGGCGAAGGCGGCUGUCUGGUCUGUAACUGACGCUGAGGCUCGAA